GCCGGUGUAGCUCAGGGGUAGAGCGUUUCCUUGGUAAGGAAGAGGUCACGAGUUCAAUUCUCGUCAUUGGCU
rfam:Tnidentified eubacterium SCB49 1103407000322, whole genome shotgun sequence.